GGUGCUGUAGCCAAGAGGUUAAGGCAGGGGUUUGCAGAACCUCCAGCGUUGGUUCGAUUCCAAUCAGCACCUCCA
rnacentral:tRNA from 1 species